rnacentral:lncRNA from 1 species
AAGGGUCCUGAUCACAGACCCCUGCAAAGAGAUCCAGGGCUUGCAGAAACAGUAGCCUAGCAACGUAAGAAAAGUACUUCAUAGCAGCUCCUUUUAGAUACAGUAAUUGUCUUCAAAUUUCAGUGUACAUUAAAUUGUCCAUUUACAAUUCCCUUUUCACAAACACAGGCUGUCAGCUUUUGACCGUCUUACAGUUUUCAGUGGCCAGCUUCAUUCUGCCUGCCCCUUCCUCAGCCCACCAAAAAAAAAAAAAAAAAAAAAAAAAAGAGAAAAGGGAAAGCAUGUACAAGUUUGAGAAUAUAAAAUAUUUUUAGUGAAGAAAACAUUGCACUUUUGCCAAUCUAAAAUUGUUUCUAGAAAGGAAGGUACUGUUGGAAGUAGUCGGCUUUGGUAUGCGACGAGAGUCACGUCUGCAGUAGUGAGUUGCAUCUGUUUAGCAAAACGAGGACACGUGUGUGCCACACGGGCGUGACCGAUGGAGUCUGUCCCGGCAGGUCCUGUGUGACCUUGGUUCUUAAGUAUUGCUACACGUGGGAGGUUCUGCCCCAUCCUCUCUAGAAAAAGUCCUACAGGUAACAAGAGGGAGAACAGUCCGCCCCAGCCUUUGGAAGGCUGCGAAGACGCUGAAUGACGUCGCCCCAGCACGGCAGCAGCCCCAGCCUGGCCCCCUCGGGGGACGGGCGGCUGCUGUCAGAGACUCGUGCCGGAAGCGCUGGAGUCGGGAAGGAAGGCGGUGAGGACGCGGUAGCUCUGGGCCCUGCGGAUCAUGUCCCGGAUCUCCAGGUUCAGCUCCAUCAGCUUGGUGCAGAUCUCUGUCAGGCUCUGGUUGGACCCCACCAGCGCGUAAGUACCCGUCUGUCCCAGCGUUUGAUGACGGAAGUAAAUGUUCAGCAGCGUCUGGACCUCAUCGUCAGAACUGCUCCCAAAGAUGUCGUUGGGCCACAGGCUUCUGCAGUCAGAAAAGAACGGCACCAUUGCUCACAAGGCUGAGCGGCUCGGGGUCGCGAUUCGGUCAAGAAUCUUACUUUUUUAAGGAAGCGCUUCAAUGGAGAUGCGACUUACACACUAUGCAGUUCAACUAUCUGAAACAGACAGUGCUGUGGCUUCUUAAGAGGAAGCUCAGAGCGGGGCAAACAGCACCUUAAUCGCAGUUUGAGAAUACUGCACCCUGUCGAUUUUGAUUAAAAAACACAUGACACAUCACAAUACCAGAAUGGAAUCUGAUAAUCCCCAAAGCAUGUGUUUGCUCUAGAGAGCAUUCUGGCUCCAUGCCUGUGCGGGCACUGUCCCCGUGUAGGGAGGAAAACCCCGCAGAGGAGGCAUUCCAAUAAUGCGUUUGAAGGUUAUCUUGGGGCGUACUUCGAAGGGUUUAAACAUUUUAGGGAUGUUUACUACCUUAACGUAUUAAAUGCUUUAAAGAGUGUUUUGAUACUUUUAAAAUACAUUACCCAUACCUUACCCGGGCAGGCAUGGUCAGGGCACAGAGCGGCGAAGGAUUGCUAUAAAACAUGGCGAUGCUCCGCCCCUUGGUGCUCGAGUCCCAACCCCGACCACGUGGCUCCUCGGCAGGGCCCUCCUUUGACACCUGCCGCUGGACACAGUUACCUGCAUUCCCUGAUCUGCCGAAGCGCCUUGCCCAGCUGGUUGUUCUUGAGGCACUCGAGCAUGGACUGGAUGGCUGCUUCGGUGGACGUGAAGGUGCCUGCUGGACUUUCCAUCUCCAAAGGAGAAGGAUGUGUGUGAGGCCUGGUGAAGCACGAGCUCAGGAUGGUGGUAAAGGGACGCGGGCAGAUGGAACCGUGCUUGGUGUGCGGAAGGCUUUGGGGAGGCAGGCCUUGAAUACCUACGUAGCAACAGCUGGGAUGCGCUCUUCUGUGAAAGAUUAAGGCUCCUUUUAAAAUGCUUUCUAUUUAAACAGAAGGACUUGCCUAGAAGUUAAAUGCAGAAGAGAACAGCUUUGGGAGCUGGGUGGAACUGCGUGCAGUUGCCCGUUCUACGUUCUGGACGGGUGCAGACUCAAGCAAAUGCUUUUAUGUGCCUCAGUUUGUUCAUCUGUGAGACUGAAAUAUCAUCCACGCUGCAGAUAUUUUUGAGAUUCAAAUUUGGCACAGAAGUGCCCAACAUAGCUUGCUUGUCGCACAGGUUAGAGAACUGAAGCCUUUGGGGCCCAUCUGCCUGCACCGAGAUGCCUGUUAAACCCAAGUGUCUACUCCAGCCCCAGGCUGAAAGUGCAACGAGCAAAGGCAGAUCUGAGCAUCCUGUCGAUACCUGCCAGAAGAGUAAGUUUUACCCUGACACUGAGGCAAACAACAGUCCACCCUGCCUUCUCUUUGAUCCUCUGUGACUGUGGAUGGAAACUGGUUGCGAAGAGCUCUUCAUAAACAAACAUGUCUGAUUCCUGCUUGCCUUGAAAUGGGCGUUUAUGGAAGGACCAUUGACCCUUGAACAACGUGAGACCUGAUGGUUCCUGGGCUCCAUCCUCGCCUGGCUGCAGACCCUCCUAUCUGACCCCCUGCAAGACAGUGUCACACCUGCCGUGACCAGCAGGCAGGAGGCUUGAGUGUGGAUGGACAGUCACCUCGGUCCUCAGCCAUCACGGGGUUAGGCAUGGCACCGCCGUCACUGCGUUUGUCUGUGACGGGACCUGAGCAUCACCCCCUUUCUCUCUCUCUCCCUCUAGUUUCAGUGACCUUUUGUCCUAAACAUCUCCCCCAGGUCCUGCUUCCUCCCUGGCCCUAGCAUUUCUGUCCAGGUUCAAACUCUGAUCAGAGCUAUUUCAUCAGCCUCAUAACUGGUCCCCCGUCUGCCCUCCCGUUGUCAUCAAAUCCACCCUCCACAUCCCGGCUAGAAAGAUGUAACGACACACUCCAAGGCGGGGCAUCGCCUGCGAGCUCCCUCAUCUCAUCUCCUGGGCCUCCGUCCACUGGGCCUUCGGGGGUGGCCUCUGUUUUCUAGAAAUACCUAAGCGCCUGCCCGCCUCGCUCUGUUUCUCACGAGCACGUUUAUGCCCAGGCUGCUGCUUCCUGUCGGAACGUUCCUCCUCGGCUCCACUUCAUCGCUCUAGCCCAGCCUGAAAAAGUCAGCUCAGGUGCGAGUGCCUCCCGAAAGUAGCCUCUCCGAAGCGCCUGGCCUCCAGGGGACCGAGGCCCCGGUCCUCUGCGCUUCCGUCGCCUCCAGUGCAGCCUGAGUGCAUGUGCUACGCUGCAGGAGGCUCUUUGCACUGCUGGGGAAGUUUCAGCUGACGCAGAAACAGGAUGCUCAAGUCGUUGGACCUUUUCCACGUAAACAUGGGGACACAUCCCCGUGCUAAGCCGGGCAGGGAGGCUGAAGAGAAUCACACAUCGUCCACCCCUUUCCUUCUUAGCUCUAAGUCCGUCAAGCAGGAACGGCUCGAGAUGAGAAAAACCGUAACACCAGGCACUUUUUCAAAUAAGGACCCUCAGGCUCUGGGCCAGGGUCAGGGACGGCCCUCGGCCCAGCACGGAGGAGGGGCCCCCUCACGUCGUCCUUACCUUUAUGGCAGCAAUGGCCCUUGCCUGGGUCUCCUCGUGCUGGACCCUCCUCCUCAAGCCUAGUGCUGGCGUGAAACGAGUAGGUGGGAAUAAAGUCAUCUGGACAUUUGUGAACGGGUAGGGGGAAAAGAGAAGGAAAGGUGGACACUCCUGGCAGGACCUGCGGUCGGGAGAGGGUGGGCUCACCUCGGGCGUGGAGCUGACUUCGUGCACCUGGCCGAUGAGCUUACAGUAGGACUGAAAAAGCAGCAGCAGCUGGAAGUGUAGCUUGUACAACCUCUGACACAGUUCCAGUUGCUAAAGAGAGAAUUUGCAGGCGGAGAAAUCGUUAUGAAGGAUCAUGCUUUAUGUAAUCAAUGAAAUCUUGGUGGAGUCUAACAUAUGUAUAUUUUUUUUAAAUCAAGGAAACAGAACUAGCUGUCACCAUUCUAAAUAAAACAACAAGAACCAAUAACUCUAUCAGACAUUCACGGUAUAGUAUAGAAUAAAACAGUUCCUGGAAGGUGACUAACUAGAAGUCGCUAUGAAGGGACUGGGUGAACUGCCAAAUUUCCAUUGUAUUUGCUACACAUCUUAAUUUUUAUAUGCUCUAUGUUUUUAAAAACUGUUUAUUUGAAAGGGACAACAUUAAGAGAUUCUAGGUAUUAAGUUUAAACAUUCAGCAGACACGUGGGAGGUUAUUCCUGUGCCCAUUCUGGCUGCCACUUAGGGUGCAGGCACUCCUCCUAAAGUCUUAAACACACGCGUUACGUGAUCCUCUAAGGUGCUGCCUCAGUUUUACUGCCGAUGUGUCUACUCAGGGCCCAAUAAAUAUUUGUUGAACUAAAGAGAUAUAAAAAGGGCCCAAAGAACUUAGAGCAAGGAGAAAUUAUGAAACCAUGCAACACUUUCUGUGGAAAGAACGUUAAAAAGUAUUCAUACAAAAUGGCCUUUGAGCCCUAGAGAUACCUCUGGAAUAUAAAGUGAUUUCAUUAAACAGCUCUGUGUACUACAAAGUGAGAAUAAAUCAUGAGUAUUUCUAA